ensembl:lncRNA
AGCAGCACCACCGCCCUGCUGACAGUGAGUGUGUGUCCCCCUAGCAACGCACGACGAUGUUGUGGAGGCCGGUGGGAGUGAGAAGACCGAGGAGGAGGCCCAGGCUGUGACCAAGGAGGAGGAGGCGGGCCCGGCCCCUGAGAAGGGGGCAGAGGAGGCCGCAGCCGUUGGCGAGGCAGAGGAGGAGGCGGGCCCAGGCAGUGACAAUGACAAGACGUCCCCAGCCAGGGCUGGGGCUGAGCAGGAAGAUGAAUCUGCCCCCAAGGUAAGCUCACCUUUCUUGAUGUGAGAUUGGAAAAGUCGCCUCCUUUCUUUUUUGAUAUUCCUACCUGAGAAAUGAAAAUCUGAGGAAGUCCAUUGUUUAUGAGGCAUGCAGAUUCCUCUGCGGAGGAAUGUGGCAUCAACGUUUGGUACCAGCAACUAGCUCCUUCCAAGGGGCAUUUGCAAAAGGGAGCGCAUCCGUUCCCAAGGGUACAGUAGGGAGCAUUUUUCUUUGAAGAGGCCGGAAUGUUUUUUGAAGGAACAUGGCCUGGGGAGGUCUUCCGUGGGAAGUUCGCGCCUUUUCCAAAGGUGUCUUCGCUGUCUUCUUUUGGGGAAACCGACUCAACUCUGCCUUCUGUGUGCCUGCCUGUGGUCCCCAACAGCAGGAAGACCUGCGGCCACCGUGCAGAGGAUGCUGUGACGCUCACCGUGUUUUCUUUUCUGUCAUUGCAGGUGGACGGGACGGACGGUGAAAGCUGUGAGUAUUCUGGAACCCUGCUCCGCUGAGGAGAAGUCCAGGUGUUGAGGAAGGGAGGGGGGGCCCUCCUGCUCCUUUGGUUGCAGAGACACGUUGAGGCCAUAGAGCCCAGGGAAGUUCUGAGCACACGGAGGCCAGACCAGGGCAGUGCUGUGAGGCCCCAAACAACCUUCGGUAGGCGACAUGAGUGGGGGACAGAUUCUAACACCUUGGUUCCUCAUGUCUGUGUUUCUGCAGCGUGGAGCACUGUGAGUCUGUGUGGCAGCGUCCACGAUGAAGAUGACACAGACUCGGUGGUGGAGAGCAGCAACAGCCACCAGGACGAGGAGGCUGCAGGUAGGGAAGAGCACGCAGCUGGGAUCCAGUGGGAGAGGGUUCCUGGGAGCACCUGGGUUGCACCUGCUGCCGGGCGAGGGAGGAAGGGGGAUGGGACUUGGCGGGUGGGUGGGUGGCCUAAUGAGUGGAAGCCUGGUGUGGCGUUUUCCCCUCUGAAAUUGAUCACACGAAGAAGACUUGGGUGCCUGGUCUUUGUUGUGCUGUGUGUGUCUUCCUGUCUCCUUCCUUGGAGAGGGAAAAUGGAUUUUCCCUCCCAAGGCUGCUCCUUCCAGCUCUUGGCUCUGGCCACUGUGCCAGCUUGCUUUGUGACUCGCACCCUGAGGGUCCUGUGCACAAGAGCUGUUGACUUAGUUUCCUUUAGUGACCUUGAUGGACCUGACGGGGUGGGACGCCAACCUCUCCUAGGCCCCCGACCCUGGAGACGAAGUUGGUCUAGUGAGUGUCAGGUGGGAAGAGCACGCAGCUGGGAUCCAGUGGGAGAGGGUUCCUGGGAGCACCUGGGUUGCACCUGCUGCCGGGCGAGGGAGGAAGGGGGAUGGGACUUGGCGGGUGGGUGGGUGGCCUAAUGAGUGGAAGCCUGGUGUGGCGUUUUCCCCUCUGAAAUUGAUCACACGAAGAAGACUUGGGUGCCUGGUCUUUGUUGUGCUGUGUGUGUCUUCCUGUCUCCUUCCUUGGAGAGGGAAAAUGGAUUUUCCCUCCCAAGGCUGCUCCUUCCAGCUCUUGGCUCUGGCCACUGUGCCAGCUUGCUUUGUGACUCGCACCCUGAGGGUCCUGUGCACAAGAGCUGUUGACUUAGUUUCCUUUAGUGACCUUGAUGGACCUGACGGGGUGGGACGCCAACCUCUCCUAGGCCCCCGACCCUGGAGACGAAGUUGGUCUAGUGAGUGUCAGGUGGUGGGUGAGAAGGCAGCUCUCUCCCUCUGCACGUUCAGGAUUUCUGGGCUCCCUGACCUGUUGUGUCCUCACGGUGUGUCCUCAGGGAAGCGGCACUACCAGAGUUGGAUGAGUUACAGGAGUUGUCCUCUGAGUUCCUGUUGUAGCUCAGCGGUUAAUGGAUGCACCUUGGAACCAUGAGAUUGCGGGUUCGAUCCCCGGCCUCACUCAGUGUGGUGAGGAUCCAGGGUUGUUGUGAGCUGUGGUGUUGGUCACAGAUGCGGCUGGAUCCCACGUUGCUGUGGCUGUGGUUUGGGCUGGCAGCUGCAGCUCCGAUUGGCUCCCUAGUCUCGGAACCUCCAUAUGCUGCAAGAGUGGCCCUAGAAAAGGGAAAAAGGCAAACAUGCAAUACUGUAAAAUAAAGGAGAUGUCGUGUGGGGUUGCUGCGUAGGA